rnacentral:rRNA from 1 species
UGGGGAAUAUUGGGCAAUGGAGGCAACUCUGACCCAGCAAUGCCGCGUGAGUGAUGAAGGUAAUUUUAUUGUAAAGCUCUUUUCUUUGGAACGAAUAAAUGACGGUACCAAAGGAAUAAGCCCCGGCUAACUACGUGCCAGCAGCCGCGGUAAUACGUAGGGGGCAAGCGUUGUUCGGAAUGACUGGGCGUAAAGGGUGUGUAGGUGGUUUGAUAAGUUAGAUGUGUAAUACCCAGGGCUUAACUCGGGUGCUGCAUCUAAAACUGUUAGACUUGAGUACUGGAGAGGAUAGUGGAAUUCCUAGUGUAGCGGUGGAAUGCGUAGAUAUUAGGAGGAACAUCAGUGGCGAAGGCGACUAUCUGGACAGCAACUGACACUGAGGCACGAAAGCGUGGGGAGCAAACAGG